rnacentral:rRNA from 1 species
CAGCAGCCGCGGGAAUACGUAGGGUGCGGGCGUUAAUCGGAAUUACUGGGCGUAAAGCGUGCGCAGGCGGUUGUGUAAGACAGGUGUGAAAUCCCCGGGCUUAACCUGGGAACUGCGCUUGUGACUGCACAGCUAGAGUAUGGCAGAGGGGGGUGGAAUUCCACGUGUAGCAGUGAAAUGCGUAGAGAUGUGGAGGAACACCGAUGGCGAAGGCAGCCCCCUGGGCCAAUACUGACGCUCAUGCACGAAAGCGUGGGGAGCAAACAGGAUUAGAUACCCCUGUAGUCCCUGUCUCUUAUAC